GUGAAUACGUUCCCGGGUCUUGUACUCACCGCCCGUCACACCAUGGGAGUUGUGUUUGCCUUAAGUCAGGAUGCUAAAUUGGCUACUGCCCACGGCACACACAGCGACUGGGGUGAAGUCGUAACAAGGUAACCGUAGGUGAACCUGCGGUUGGAUCACCUCCUUUCUAGA
rnacentral:rRNA from 1 species